rnacentral:rRNA from 1 species
GAUGAACGCUGGCGGCGUGCUUAACACAUGCAAGUCGAGCGAUGAAGUUUCCUUCGGGAGACGGAUUAGCGGCGGACGGGUGAGUAACACGUGGGUAACCUGCCUCAUAGAGUGGAAUAGCCUUCCGAAAGGAAGAUUAAUACCGCAUAAUGUUGAAAGAUGGCAUCAUCAUUCAACCAAAGGAGCAAUCCGCUAUGAGAUGGACCCGCGGCGCAUUAGCUAGUUGGUGGGGUAACGGCCUACCAAGGCGACGAUGCGUAGCCGACCUGAGAGGGUGAUCGGCCACAUUGGGACUGAGACACGGCCCAGACUCCUACGGGAGGCAGCAGUGGGGAAUAUUGCACAAUGGGGGAAACCCUGAUGCAGCAACGCCGCGUGAGUGAUGAAGGUUUUCGGAUCGUAAAGCUCUGCCUUUGGGGAAGAUAAUGACGGUACCCAAGGAGGAAGCCCCGGCUAACUACGUG